AAAAUUUUGAUGCCUUCUGGAGAAAAUCCAUUAAUUGAUAACAGAUGCAAAUACUAUCUUAAAUUCUUAACUAUGAGAAAUGCUAGUAUUGUCUUUCUGCUCUACUUGGCAUAGUUCUGGAACAUAGUGCUGAAUAACAUUUUCCUUUUCACCACCAUACCUGAGCAGUCACUGCAUUUCUUGUUUUGGGUGCUAAAAUGUGCUUUUGCUUGGUUGUUUUGAAAUAUAUUUUACAUGAUAUGCUAUAAGUUAGAGGUGAAGCCAAGGUUCGCCAUCUCAGUACCGAACUCCGUACAGGUGCCGCACCAACAUAGUGUUGGUGUGGUACGGUACAAGAUUUUUUUGGCGUACCUAUAUUUUUUUGAUGUACCCAGUGUUGGUACGCUAUCUGUAUCGGGUACCAAUAUCGAACCAGUACGGUAUGGUAUGCCCUGUACCGUCUGGUUCAGGCCGGUAAGGCGUACCAUGGGUGAAAGUAUUUACAGGCAAGUUUUUUGGUAUUAUAUUCUUGAAUGAUCAAAAUGGACAAUAUAAGUUUGGCUUAUUGGUGUAGCAUCUACAUACAGAACAUAUGUCAUAUAAAUGUAUGUAUGUAUAUAUUCAAAAGAAUGUUUUGUCUAAUUGAAUCCGAAGCUCUUGUAGAUUACUGUAUAGUUACAUGCUAUCUUUUCUCUUUCAAGGUACUCUGUAUUGUUUCAACUUUCAAGCAUUUGAUUUCCUAAAUAAUUGUUGUUUGUUUCACGACUAAAUUUUCUACCAUAACUCUAUAUUAAAGAAUUACUGUUGGUAUAUUUUUCUAUCAAUUGAUAUAUGGUCCGUGUCUGUACCUUUGUCGUGCCUAGUGUUUUCAGGAGUGUUUCAUCUAGUUGAUUCCUGAGUUCCUGUAGAUUACCAUAUAGCUAUAUGCUAUCUUUUCUCUUUCAAACUCUCUCUUUGUAUUGUUUCAAACGUUUGAUGUCCUAUGUAAUGACUAUUUGCUUCUCUCCUACUCUCUCUACCAUAUUUUAUAUUAAAUGAAUUACUGUAGAUAUAUUGUUCUAUAAAUUGAUAAAUAAUUCAUGUAUGUACUUCAUUGUUUCCCAGAGUAGCCUGUUGUUAAUGUAUAUAUUGGGUUACAUGACUAUUUGUAUUCAUAGUUACAUGACGGGAAGUAGCCUGUUGUUAAUGUAUAUAUUGGGUUAUCAUUCUUGAUACUGGGUUUACUGUAUCAUUGCUACCCCUUCGAUUCUUCCCACAUUUCUUAGUUUCAGAGCCUUGUUUUGCACCCAGGCUUGUCAGCUUAGCCUUGGACCCUCAACAUGGGGGAACUGAACAUCAAAAACUUACAAAAUACAUAAGAGGCCUUUGAGAAAUCCUUCAUUGAUAAUUUGUCAGAGAACAAGUUCACAAAUCUAACUAUUUUAUUCCCACUAGUACGAUCUUAUCUACAUAAAGAAGGAAAACAAUCAUAUCUUUUAUUUCCUUCAUGUAUAUUUGAGCUUUCUUAGGAUUCUGUUUGAAACCAAAGUCUUUAAUUUCUUUAUUAGAUCUUUUAUUACAACCAUAAAAUGCUUGUUCGAAACCACGGUUGUCAUCAUCAACUUGCAUGCCAUAAAUUCAGACAUCGGUGUAGCAUAUCCUGUGGAAGGAUGCAUCUCACCUUUUUCAUCCUGCCUUCUGUUCAAUUGUUUAGAUGUCUGUUUUACCAUAUUCUAUAAUCAUCACAUGCAGCUGUGGCCAAAAGAAUCCUGUUGCAUUUCAUUUUGGAAGCUUAUGAUAAGGUUACAUCAUAGUAAAAACCCUUGAACGUAGACUUUUGCCACAAUAGAAAUAUAACUUUACCCUUUUGGAUUGAUCAACUGAAGUAUAUAUACUAUUACUUCUCAUGUAAUUAUUCUCUGAUUCCAGCAGCAAUCCACCUUGGAAUCUUCAUGCCACUGACAAAUGCCUGAUAAGAGCAUUUUUCAAUGUCCUCUCUCUCAAGGGAAAAAGAUCUAUAAUUAAUAAAUUAGAGGAAAGAGGACACUCUAAUUUCAAGGUCAUGAUUUCUAAUAUUGGGUUUAAUAUAUGUUCUUAUUCAUGGGAAUAGAUGGCUGAUGGCAGGAGGUUUUCUCCAAGGAGAUCUGAGAUCUGCUGUCCAUUGGACAGAAAAGGCUAUAUGAUGAAAGGGGAAGGAAGAAUACAAAAUGUUGAUGAAAAAGACAAGAAUCGAAGUAGGGUGGAAAAGAAGAGGAAAGGUUACCCAGAUCAUCUCUUUUUAGAAAGAAUUGCUUCUUCCUAGCUAAAGCCAGCCUUCCUAGUUUAUAAAUUUUAGAGGGCCCAACCAUUGAUCUUGUGGACAGUCCAGAGAAUCGAAUGUAUACUAAUGACACCUUGAUCCCCGCAAGCCUCAGAAAUUGAUGUAAGACUUUGUGUCGAGGUUGGUUGGAUCCUGUAAAUUAGGGGCAAAUUUAGGGGAGACCAGGUGUCUCACGAAUCGCCCCUAAACAUAUUUCUCUUUCACCUAUGCCAAUUUAAAAGCCUUACUUAUAUGAAACCAUCUCCUGGAUCUUGCGUGAUCACCAUAUCAAGCAGCUCUAGUGUCUAUUUUCUAAUGUGGCCCUUCAUAAGCAGCCCAUUCCCUUGUAUUUCUUCUUUUGUUUUGAAAAUUGGAUUGCUUUUUCCUUAUCCUCUUUUAUAGAUGAACAUCCAUCCGAGUUGUGAAAUGCUUGCACUGUAUAUGAGAUCUCCCUAAUUACUUGGCUUUUGUUUUCCCACACACCUCCUCAUCUUUUGCUUCCCCGCCAACAUGGUAGUUUGUUAUUUGACCAUUGGUUUUGUCCUUCUUGUUCCUCCCACUACUCUGAUGUGCAUUUGGUUUUGUUGCUUGCGCUUAUGAGCUUGUCGAUGGUGAGUGCCUUCUUCUCCCAUUAUGUAUUUUCAUAAAAUGACUAGAUAUUGAGACAUGUCCAUAUACACCAAUUUAGGUUUUUUCUUUUGGUUCAAAUAGUUUUUAGUUAGCACUUCAAAAAAGAAUUCAACAGAUAAUUUGGCCUAUAGCAAGCAUAGAUGUUGUAGCAAUGAUUGGAAUACUCACUAGGAUUUGGUAUGGUAUUCCUCUUUUGACCUAACUUAGCCAUAUAUCUAUAUGUAGGCUAUUUCUUUAGCUUAUACAAAACUAGAAAUAUAAUAUUUGAACCAUUGAUCCAUUUAUAAAUGCAGGGUUCUUCUUCAUUCUUAAUGAAGCCAUAUGUUCCGAUUACCUUAUCAAAACGUAUAUUCCAACUCCGUGAAGUUUGCUUUAAUCUAUAAAUAGAUCUUUGAAGCUUGCAUACUUUAGACUCAUCUGCAGAUGUAAAACCUUCAGAUUGUAUCAUAUACACUUCCUCUUCUAAAUCCCCAUUUAGAAAGACGGUUUUAACAUUCAUCUGCCAGAUCUCAUAAUCUAAAUGUGCUGCCAUUACAAGCAUAAUUCGAAUGGAUUUGAGCAUUGCCACAGGAGAAAACGUCUCGUCAUAGUCAAUACCAUAACGUUGACGAUAUCCCUUGGCAACCAGACGGGCUUUAUAGAUCUCUACCUUUCCGUUUGCGCUCCGUUUUCUUUUGAAAAUCCACUUACACCCUAUGGGUUUAAUCUCUUUGGGUGGGUCAACUAAUGUCCAUACAUCAUUGACCUUCAUGGAUUCCAUUUCGGAUUGCAUGGCUCCAAGCCAUUUAUCAAAGUCAUUCCUCUGCAUUGCAUCCAUAUAGGUGAUCGGAUCCUCAUCGUUUUCAUCAAGUUCGACAGGAUCCCUGUCUCGGACCAAGAAACCGUAGUAUCUGUCCGGCUGACGUGGUACUCUACCUGAUCGUCUUAAUGGUGCAUCUAAGAUGGGUUCGAGAUCUGAUCUAAUCAAAUCUGACUCAAUAGGUUCAGUGGAUGGUGUUGGGUCUUCUACAUGUUGAACUUUCCUAAGUUUUAUAUUAGAGCUUCUACUUCUCCAAGAAUACAGCUCUAUUGCUUACGAACAACUUUUGUUCUUCAGCAAGAUAGAAAUAAUAUCCUUUAGACUUUUUAGGGUAACCGAUAAAGAAACAUUUGUCAGACUUGGCUUCAAGUUUGUCUGCUUUCAAACGUUUGACAUAAGCCGGACACCCCCAAAUUCUAAGGUGAGAAAGUACCGGUUUCCGUCCCGUCCACAUCUCAUGUGGUAUUUUAUUCACAGAUUUACUUAAAACCUUAUUAAGUAUAUAACAUGUUGACUCAAGUGCAUAUCCCCAAAAGGAUAUGGGCAGAUCAACAAACCCCAUCAUAGAUCGAACCAUGUCUAACAGUGUUUGAUUUCUCCUUUCUGACACACCAUUAUAUUGCGGUGUACCAGGAGGAGUCCAUUGGGAGAGAAUCUCAUUUUCUUCUAGAUAUGUCAAAAACUCACUGGAGAGAUAUUCUCCUCCUCGGUCUGACCGAAGAGUUUUAAUACUCUUUCCAGUUUGUUUUUUUACUUCAUUACGAUAUAAUUUGAACAUUUCAAAUGAUUCAGAUUUAUGUCUCAUUAAAUAGACAUAACCAUACCUCGAAAGAUCCUCUGUGAACGUAAUGAAAUAUGAAUAUCCACUUUUGGCAUUUGUGCUCAUUGGCCCACAUACAUCAGAAUGUACAAGGGUUAAUAAGUCACUGGCUCGUUCACCUUUUCCGGUAAAAGGUGAUUUGGUCAUUUUUCUAAGAAGACAUGACUCGCAGGUUGUCAAUGAUUCACAAUCAUUAACAUUGAGGAUUCCCUCUUUACUUAACCUGUUCAUCCUGUUCUUGUUAAUAUGACCUAGCCUAUGAUGCCAAAGGUAGACAUCCAUGACAUUAUCUAUUCUAGGGUGCUUACUUGACUUGUACAUUACAUUAACAGGCUGUGACUGUAUAUAAAUGCUAUUACUCAAUUGUCCAUGCAUUACAGUGACACCAUUCAAAUGAUAUCACAAUAAUUUCUUUUUAUUGAAAUCUCAUAACCUUUCAUGGCCAAAAAGCCUACAAAAAUUAUGUUCAAUAAAAAACUUGGACAAAAGUAACAGUCACUUAUGACCAUGGUCUGCCUUACCGGUCCGUACCGGCCGGUACGGGCCGGUACGUACCGGUCCGGCCUGGGACUGGUACCGGAUCAGCGUGGAAUCCGGUACCGGUAGUUUACUGUUGAAAAACCGGUACGGGACCGGUACGGGACCGGUUCGGACCGGUUCGGACCGGUACGGACCGGUACGAGACCGGUUUCGUACCGGUCCGGGCCGCCACCGGUACGCCGACCGGUACCGGUACGGCGGACCUUGCUUAUGACAAUUAUAUGAGAGUUGAAUAUAAGUUUAAGACUUUCUAAAGCUAGAAUUGGAACUGGUCUUCCAUCUCCAACGUUCAGGAAUCUUUCGCUUUCUCCAAAUCUCUUAUUGACCUGAAGUCCCUGCAACGAAUUGCAAAUAUUAAAUAGGCUUCCAGUAUCUAAUACGCAGGUCGAAUUGUCACAAAUUGAAAAAUUACAAGGUGUUAUCAUAUAAGUACCUUGAUCAGCAACUGAUUGCAUCUUUCUCUUUUGCCUGUUUGGGUCAAGGGAGCCAAUGUAUUGAGGACAAUUCCUCUUCCAAUGCCCUUGCUUCUUACAGUAGAAGCACUUUGCCUUACUUUGAUCGGCCUUUACCUUCUUGGUCUGAGUUGGCUUAGCAUGCUGUACCUUUUUCUUUUGAUUCUUAUUUUUCUUCUUUCCUUUCUUAAAGGGACCACGACCUCUGGACGAGCCUCCCACUAAAUUCACCGACCCUUUUAGGAGUUGGUGAUUCUUCUCAAAUGUUUGUAGUAAAUCCAACAAUUGGUGAUAAUUUACUACCGGUUUCGUUAUACGAAAGUUGCUGAGAAAUGGGUGGUACGAACUAGGAAGAGAGUUUAGUAUAGCAUCCUUCCCCAAUUGAUCAUGAAGGGGAAAAUCGAGAGUGCUCAGGCGCUCGAUCAACUCAAUCAUGUACAAUACAUGAUCGGUCAUCGACGCCCCAUCCUUCAUCCGUGCGCUGAAAAUAGCACAACUAGUCUUGUGCCUUUCAACGUCGUCAGGAGUGCCAAAAGAUUCGUUCAACACUUGAAUGAUCUCUUCAGACUGCGCAUUCUCAAACCUACGACUGAACUCGUCGUUCAUUGCAGCAAGCAUAAUGCAGCGGACAGUGAUACAAUCACUGAGCCACUUCUGAUAAGUGUCUCUGACUGUACCCCGUGCAUUGGCAGUGGGCUGCUCAGGUGCUGGAUCUAUUAUCACAUAAAGAAUCCGUUCAUGCUCUAGCACAAUCUUAAGUUUUCUAAGCCAGUUAUUGAAAUUGGGUCCAGUCAACUUGUCAUUAUCCAACAAUGAACGAAGUGACAAACUAGUGGCCAUUUUUGCAUAAAAGAAAAUCGGCUAUCAGUAUAUGAAUUGACAAUACCCUAAAGACUUGGACUUUAGUCUAAAGAUUCUCCCACUAUUUUAUACAAAUUUGUAGCCCCUACCUUAAAUUUGAAGAAUUACACUUAACUUUUUAGUGAGCACUAGAACCCAAUAGAUCGCAUAUGGGCCCGAGUGUGGCUCGGCCAACCCAUAUGCACCUAUUGGUAGGUUCUGAACCAAUUGUUUCACCAAACAAUUUCUAGUGAUAAUUUUGCCCGUCUCUUCGGCAGGCGUGUGGCGCCUCCACCGAAAAUUCUGAUUAGGUCCAACCAUUAAAUGACAGGGUUCCGUGUAAUCUACUAAUAAAUGACCAAGCCCGAGUGUGGCUCGGCCCACCUGAUCACCUAUUGAAGGUACUCGACUCAUAUAUUGAAUGACAAUUUCAAUGGUCAAAUAAUCACCAGGCGUGUGGCGCCUCCAAUGAUUAUCUGGCUAUUGGACCUAUUAUCAUCCAACUUAAUGGAAGGCUAUGACCUAGUUAUCUCCAUAACUAUUUCAUUUUAUGGACCUAAUAAUUUUAGAGGGUUUAAUUUAAUUGAGAAUAGAUGAGAAGAACCGGUUAAUCUAGAUCCUCCCACUGACUUCAUCAAGUCAGAUUAAUAAGAACUAGAUUCAAUCCGGUUAAGGAGGCACCUAAAUCAGUCAUACUGAUUAUCCUUAAAGGCAUGGGUCAACUCGAAUCAUUAAGUGAUCCAAUCAAAAUGUGAUUGACCAUGUCAGCCAGGUAAGUGAGAUCGGUGGAAGGGAUAUGCCAUUAACUCGACAAAGACGAAUCAGUGUAAGUAGCUCCCAAUUAAAAACCACCGGUCAAGCUGCCAAACUUACCUUAGAUACCGACUGGUUAAUCAAUUUCGAUUUGAUUACUCAAAUGACUUGGGCUCUACCUCUGAGCCUCAAUCAAGUUCCAUUUUAGUCUAAUCAAAGACAUGGAAUUUGAUCAACUACUACUAUUGUAUUUGACCUAGAGUUUCCUUGACCUAAUCUAGUUACUACUUAAUUAGAUUUGAUCAAUUAACUCUAAUUAGACCAUGUUUGAUUCUAACCUUAGGUUUAACCCAAUCUUAAGAACUUGAUUCAAGCUAACCCAAACCCCUAAAGGCUUAUGCAAUUGUCAUUUAAUUGAGUUACAAUUCUAGAUCUAGGUUUUCAUAUUACUUAAUUCUUAAUCAAGUGUAAGUUUAUGAAAAUUUAGAUCAUUGCAUAAUCCUUUUAAUUACACCUUAAUUAUAAACUUUCAGUUCUUAAAUUUUUUUUCAGAUCUGAGUUUGAUAAUUAAUCAUGUGUAAUUCACCUUUUAAUUCAUGUUUAAAUCAUUAUGAUUUAUGUUCAUACAUCAUAUAUAUAAACUUUCAUGAAUUAAUUCAAACAUCAUACAACUUUUGCAUUUAUUUUUAGAUCUAAUAAUUCUUUUAAAAACAGAGAUUAAAUGAAUCAUAUAUUUUAUUUAGAUCUAAUCUAAAUAAUUUUAUGAUUUCAGAUUUAUUCAUAUUACAUAUGUUAACAUAAACAUUGCAUCACAUAAAUUCAAAUUUCAGAUCUAGUUAAUCAUGCAUAAUCAGCAAUUAAAUCAAUCAUAAAAAUACUUUAGAUCUAAUCUAAACAUGUUCAUGAUUCCAGAUUUAAUUGCAAUGAUUAAAACAUAAAAGAUUAAACAAAGAACCUGGCUCUGAUACCACUGAUAGUGAUCCUAUGAUGCUAGUAGUGAUAGCAUGCUCAAAUUUAAAAUUUUUCAAAAAUCAAUGGCUAUACCUGUUCAGGUUGCCUACGUACCCCUUCACAAGGGGGAUCAAGUCACACGUAGUUCUUUUAAUUUUGAAAUUCGCAGUGGAAAAUCGAAUUAAACAUUUUAAUUCUAGCAUGCAUAAGAAAUCAAAUUUCAAAAUAUCACUACAAGUAUUCAUGAUCAAUAUGCCGGAAUCGUUUAAACGAUUAUGCUAAAAUCAUUGCAUGAUUAAUUUCAGAUCUGAAAUGAGAUUAUUAAUUAAGUUCUAAACUUAAUUAAUCUAACACCCAACUAAUCUUCGAAUGCCCAUCGAAUAGGCUCUGAAGAUUACUCUGUGAAGAGCCCCAAAAGAGGUUUAACCCUCAGGGAUUGGAAUCUAUAAGUGAUACAACUUUGGAUCUAGAUUCAUAUCUUUAUGAAAUCUGAAAAUAAUGGAUCUGAUGCUUGAGCUUCGUAGCCACACACUCGUCUGGCCUCUACGAGUAAUCCACGCGAAGCUUUUGGAGUGAUCCAAUCCUGCGGAAGUGCUAGCUUGCGCAAGAUCGUCCUUUGUUGAAUUUUGAUCUUCCCGACGCUAUCAACUUUUGAUUCGUCUUCUUGGAAGAACUUGGAGGAAUGGUUAGUAGGGAUUGAAGAGGACUUAGAUCUGAUCUAAAGGCUCUUAUCAGGGAUCCCUAUCAGCUAUGGCGAGAUGGAAUUAGAGGAGAUGGAAUGGGCGAGAUGGCAGGCUGAAUUUUCAUAUUCCAACACAAGGAAUUAAUCCCUUUUUAAUGGCACGCCAUCUGAUCAUUUGAAUUCGAAAUUCAAAUGGAAAGCUGGUAUAUUGUUGGCGCAUGAAGGGGUUGGUUGUAACAAGAUAGAUCUUAUCUUGUUUGAAUUCAAAAUUCAAACACUAGAUGGGUCAUAAGGGUGAGAUAAUUUGAAAUGGAUGGUGCUGAUUUGAUUUCAUUCAAAUUUAAUUCGAAAUUCCAUUGAUAAUCAUCUAGCCAUUCUCCCACAUCUCCCACGAUCCAAAUCCCAUCACUUUUCAUUGAAAUUCCACAUCCGGAUCGAAUCCCUUGAAUUCAGCCCAUUCACGAGUUCCAGGAUUUUCAGAAGGAGUCGACCUUCCCGAGCUCGAGUCGACUCCAAGUCGCCUCACGUCGACUCCAAAGUCGACCCGAGCCGACCCCUGCUGAGACGACAGAGAACUUCCCUGAUACGCCCACCUAGUCGACCCCUUCAUAGCUCGAGUCGACCCCAAGAAAACUCGAGUCGACCCCACCUAGGAAAAAUAGAAGUCGUCCUCUGGAUUCUCUGAGUCGACCCCACCCAAGCUUGAUUCGACCCCAGCCCAUCUCGAGUCGACCCCAAGAAAACUCGAGUCGACCCCACCUGGGAAAACAGAGGAGUCGUUCUCUGAACUCUCUGAGAGAGUCGACCCCAGCCAAGCUUGAGUCGAUCCCAGCUCGAGUCGACCCCUCUUUACUUCGAGUCGACCCCAAUCAGGUCAAAACCCUGAUUGAACCCAAAAUUGAAUCCAAUUCAAUUUGGCUCAUCCUUAGUCCAUUUACUCAAUCAAAUUGAGUUUAUUAGUAAUCUAAUUACUAAUUAAUCCUCCAAUAAUUACUUUAAUUAUUUUAUAGGAUAAUUUGCUAAUCGGAUUGACCAAAUUAUCCCUGAAUGAUUCUCAAUCAUCCAUCAGCCAUCUUGAUCAAUCAGGAAACUUUUAUGCGUAUGACCUCAUAGGUUCGAACCUAAAUCGGUAGUACAGGAACGACUUCCUGUACUAAUCGAUGUGACCAUCUAGCAAUGGUACCCGACGUCCGGAUAGGCCGAAUAUAUGCGAAGCAAAUAUUUUGAAAUUCUGGACUAUGGUUACUGUAUAAUUCAUCCCGUUGACUCCUAAUGCUAGGAUGACCUCAGAGUUCUGUCAACUCUCUAAUCAGUACAUCCACUAUGUGAUCAACUUUAGAAAUCCUGUGACUCAUCACAAGGAUUACCCUGGCCAAGGAUCAACUUCACAGCAUAUCAUUUGAUCGCGAACAGGUUUAAGGACUUGAAGAUAAAUCCUUCUUUAUCAUGAAAUAAGUCCUAAGGACUUCAUCAUAUAAGAGUUCAUUUGAAGAUGAAAUGAUGAAUAAUGCCAAAUAACACUUUAUUAAUUUGUCAAUUCAUUUACAAAAUUCAAUCAUCAACAUACUGACGAUUGACACUUAGGAUACAAUUCCCAACAUCCUUGUCACUAUGAUGAAGCAUAACCCUUCAACUUAAUGGCUACUAGUUUGACCUUCUUGUUGUCAGGUAGCUCUAGGUACUCAAUUACUCUUUCCACCUCGUUAAACCAGUCCAAGACUUUAUCUGGUUCUCUCCAGAAAAUCCUGGUGUAUCCACCUUUGCACGUGGACCUCUAUCAUUGUCAGCCCUCUAAUGAGCACGAGGCUGUCUUACUUGGGGUAGGAUCUCCAUUUCUUCUUCCGAUGAAUCAUCCAAAGGUUGUUGCUGCUGCUGAAAUCUUUCUACAGCAGGUUGACCUCUUCCAUUCGUCCGUUGAUAAACAUGAACUUGCUGUCCUCUUUGUUUCCCAAUAGCUGCAUUAGGAGGACCAAAGAUCCCUGCUUGUUCAAGCCUAGAACAUAGGUUAGCAAGGUGGUGUUGUAGGUUCUCCACAUCUCUGGUAGCCAUUGUUCUAUUAUGUGCUGCUUGAGGUGCUUCCAAAUCCUCUUGGUUCUGCUCCAAAUUGUUUCCACGCCCAACCAUGGAUCCGCAGUAAUCACAGAUCAAAAAUAGCAAGGUUCUGAUACCACUUAAAGUAAAUCAAAGUAAGAAAACUGAAUAGAUCACUUUAAAGAUACUCCAAAGUCCAAACACUGUUGGAGCCUGGAUUUCUUGAAGGGAAAUCAAGGGAAAAACCUUGUAAAAAAAGGAACUGAGUUCUGUCCAAAAAAGUUGUUGUAGAUUAAUUCCAUUGUAUUGCUUACGUCCUUUACAACUCCUUUAUAUAGACUCCUAAGCAAUCACCUUAAUAAUGAACCUACAUUGGAAAUAAAAAGUAUUUACUCUAGUCAGCCUAGAAGACACCAACAUUAAAUACAUUCAACUUAGAAGACUGGACACUACAUAUCUCAUAACUUUUGCAGAGAACAAGACUGAAUUACUAACUGAUUUUCCAACUUCCAAGAGCAUUAAUUUGACUCUAGACUUCUGUUGUAGAACUGAUUUAGACAGGUAACAGUGACACUAACCCAUGAUUUUUUUUUAUAUUCCCACACCAAUAUCUCCUAUGGCUAGCAUCGAGACCUUCGCAUUGGAUCCCAUCUUGAACUGAAUUCACCAUCCUCUAAGGACUUGCUCUGGAAUUCUUGCAAAGAAUUAUAGACAUGUAUCGUGAACCCAGAGUCCACAAUCCAAGAGUUGGAAGGUCCAGUUAAAUUAUUCACCUCAACUACCAUAUACACAUCACACAUACCAGGUGAUGCCUAUCAAGCUGCCAUCAUGACUGACAUUGGCCAUUUUGGGACCUGCAUCCUAGUGUUGUGCCGCUGAUAAGUGAGUCCAUGCUCCCAAGGUUGGAAUCCUGGACUACAUGUGAACCUCGGUCUCCUAACCGACUCCAAGCCAACUCUAGCAUCUUAUGAGCAUCUCUCAUGCUCUCAAAUUGGCCUUUAAUAGAUGAGCACAUCAGAAGAAUAAUCUUUCUAGCCUUAUAACUGACCCAAUGCCAUUGGAGGUAGGUAACAUUGGCAUUCUCAAAUGCUUUCUUAUCAGCUUGCUCUAGUGACUCUGCUGUAUCUAACAUCCUGGAGACACCCUCACUAGUGAUGAGGCUCCAUUUUUAUACCAUUUUUUAUAGUUGCUCGGAACAACCAAGCGAUCAAUAGUCAAAGUAAGCAUACAAUGCCCAUAAUUACUAGAAAGUAUGUAUCUAGCAACGUAAAAUUAAACAUGAAAGGUAAACAUCUCAUGAUCAUAGAAAUAAUAACUAAUUGAAUUAUAAAUUUUUAAUUAUUACAAAGAAAAUCAGGAUUUUCAAUUCAGCAGUACUGUUGUGCCAGAAUCUGGUAUAAUCCCUCAAUGCACCGAUUCAAUCAUAGAACAUACUGAGUUCUCCAUCCCAUGUUAUACCUGCAUGUGUGUGCACUGCAAGCAAGGGCUAAGUUGAUGGAAUAGAUACAACUAUCCUUCCAUCCUUCGGUGAAUACUAAUAUUAUGAAUACCAUCAUCAACACCAACAUUCCUGAAAUAGGAUACUCAACUUCUUGUCUCGGUUCUUAUGGAAUAUAACAUCUGAUGUUGUGGGGUCCCUGUUGUACACAUUAGUUAAGUACCAUCCACCAUCUCUAUUAGAAGUCAAAAUCUUAUGGUGAGCUCUACAUGGACAUGUACUCCUAUUCAAUAUCACCGUUUCCUGUACAUGCUCAAUUACAAGCAUACUGAUAAAAAUGGAGGUUGGCCUCUGCAUGAGCAUGCAGUUACCCCAUAUACUAGCACCUCAUAGGAUGCACUGUGGACAACUAUGGUGGCUUAACUAUAUAAGGCCACAUAAUAUUUAGGUUUUGUUUGAGGAAAUAGCAGGCUUCGACCUUCUUGAUGACUGGUAUCGAGAGAGAGAUUAUAUAUCAUACGUUUUUGAAAUAUACACAUCUAAAUUAUAUUAAUAAGCAUGCAAUGCAAGAGGUCUUAUAUAUUAAUAAUCACAUCAUUCCUAGGGUUCCUUAUUCCAAGAGGAACUCGGUUGAUAUUCGAGUCGAGUCUAGUUGAGAUCUCGAGUAUUGCUUUUUUAUGAUCGAGUUGAGUUCGAGCUUGGAUAUUAAGGCUCGAUCGACUUUGAGCUGAGUUUUGAGCUUGAGUAUUUUGAACCGAGUCGAGCUCAAGCCUCUGGCUACUCAACAUUGCUUAGUUACAUCCCUACUGAGAAUUACUAUCCUCAACCAUUGCAAUCCACAUGCCUAUCUUCCAGAGUUUUGCUUAGUCUGAAUUUCCAGCAACCUCAAGCUAAGUGGAUGCUCUAAUAAAACAACUUGUCUUAUAAGUCUUUUUCUCUCUUUUUCUUUUUCUUGAAGAAGGAAAACCCUAUCCCUACAUAUGCCUCUUUCUUUGGAUGGCAUGUGAUGAUGUCGCCUUAUGAUUGGAUGCUAGAAACCCUAGGGUGCCUCCUCUUUCAUAGAGGGGAGGUGCCAUGGUUUCGUAGUGUGGCACCCUAGAGUCUUGGACUAUGUUGAGAGAAGACAAGGAAGAGGAGAAGUUGAUCUUGCUUGUGCUGCUGCCUAGAGCCCUGAUAUAAUACUAGGAGAGGAUAGGGUUGUCAGCCCUCAUUGGGACCACCCCUUCUAGAUUAUGUGCAUUCCUAAGAGAAUGUGCAUUCCUAAGAGAAUGUGCCAUCCAGUUGGCACAAAAGGUGGGGGUAGUGGCCACCAUCCUUAGUUCAUCCCUAGGGUUGACCCUGGUCUGGUCUUGCUAGAUCCAACCUAAUCAAAUCCCUAUUCCUAAGCUAUUUUUAUAUCACAAUCUCUUCAACAAUCAAAUCUGGAUCUUACUUUAUUCGAUCUAUGAGAGAUUAUCAACUAGAAUUGUAUUCCAAUUGACUUGGAGAUAGAUGGCACAUGAUAGAUGCAUUUCUGAUACAGGUCACUUUGGUUCUCGCUCACCAAUAACCUACCUCUUCAGGUUUGCUUUAGUCAAACAUUAGCAACAUGGUCUAGCAUGAGGAUAUGGUGCUCAUAUCGUAUUACUGAACCUUGGUGAGUAGGAUGAAACCAAUUCAUCUCCCUAUUCCUCCACAAGCUAUAUCCUGCAAUUCAAUCCACCUAUCAUUCCAUUGUCCUUGUACGACCAUUGAGUACUAGUGUACUACACUAUCAAACUUUUGGUCAUACGAUAUCAUGGUUUUUAGAAUCCUAGAUCAUGUCAGACAUCUUUUUAUGAAAAUUGUUCAUAUGAUACCCUGAAAAUAAUUAUUAUUAAUCAUAGUAAUUUUGUAAAAACAAGUAUUUCUAAAAAUCUUUUAAGUUAUUAACUGGAACUUAGGUCUUAUAUGGCUGACCAUCUAGACAAUAUACCAUUAUGAUGGUUUCCAUAUUGGACAACCUCACUCAUAUCUAAACUAAGUAAACCAUGAUAGUCUAGGAUGUCCUUAUCAAUGCACGGAUCUGAUUGCAAAUUUAUCGACCUCCAUAAUAUGGUUAGGUGUUAUGUCAUAUAGGUAAAGAGACCACUUGCAAGCUGUGCACCUAGUUCGCACCUUUAGCUCCUAUAAUGCUUCAGGAGGUGUAUCACUAGUGUUGUGUCACACCCUAGAUCUAACUCAAGUUGAGGAACGUGACAAUCUGCUGCAUACAUGUAAUAUAGGGGUCCCACGAGCAUGCAAGGAGACAACCUAUUGAUAGUCCACUAUAACAGGCAGGAUAAUAAUCAAAAUUUCCAAUUCUUAUGAAAUUUUCAUGACUCAGUAAUUCAAAUUCCAAAGCAUAUUCAGUUUUCAUAUUCAAAUAACUUAACAUAAUUCACAUAUUUCUACAUAUAACAACAUUCGAGAGGGUUCUAACAAAAUUGUAAAGGUUGGUCUGAUGUGGCCAAAUAGAACAUCACUUUAGUCUCACAAAUCCAACCUCUACCCCUCACUUUUAAGCCUCGGGCUCUGUAAAAACAUAGAAAUCAAAAGAAUCAGCUAAUAGCCCAAUAACUAGAACAUAACCAAAGGGGUCAAGCAAGUGUAACAAAUAUUAGUGCUUGAUACAAAAUAAUUUAUUUAGCAAUGUAAUGUCUUGCGAUCAAAGUCAUAAUAUAACUUCGAUAUGUUGCAAUAUAUAUUAUACUUAUACAUAUAUAUAUAUAUAAUUUGCAAACCGAUUAUUUACAUAUGAUCCAAUAAGAAAUUUUAGAAAACAAUAUUAAAAGUCAAAGUUACUAUACCCAAGUUUCCAUGAAUAUCUUAUAAUCAUACAUUUACAAAAGUAUUUUAUCAACUCAUCAAUCUAUAUAACUACGACCAGAAAUAAUCUGUGACAGGGCCCAAAGUACUGCACCUAAACCCUGUAGAGUAGGUCCAAAGUACCACACCUAACCCUUGUGGAGUAGGUCCAAAGUACUGCAUUUAACCCCUGUGGAGUAGAUUCAAAGUAAUCAAAUUUCAGAACAAUCAAUCCCAAAUGCUAAUGUAUAACCCCUGUUUGGCAGGGUUCCAAACAUAGUCAGAUUGAAAGUUCGGUACUUAUACCCAAAUCCAAUUUAUGCAAUAAAUAUUUUUGCAUAUGUUUUUGCAAUAUACAAAUUCGGCUCAACAUGUAAAAAUCCCAAUGAUGGAUAAUUACCAAAAUUUCAAUAAUAAAUAUGCAAACAUGGUUUUCCAAAUCAAUACAUUUACAUAUAUCAAUGUACAGAUUCCAAAGGCUUAUGCUGAAGUUUUCAAACUUCAAUUAACUGGAAUAAUUCUAACAAAACUCGUGAUUUUCAAAUUACAUGGAUAUAAUGGAUAUUCAAAGGCUAUUUAAUACAAUAUAUUCAUGCUUGAUCCAAUUUUUAAAAGUACACAAAACAAAUAGUGCAAUUUUGAGUGUAUUUGGCAAUAAUUGAAUCAAAGUAUAUUUCCAAAACUAUAUAUAUAUAUAUUAUUUAAAAUUUGAUUUGAUUAGGUGGAGGUUACUUACCUCGCAGACGUCACAACCAUCUAGUUUAACCAGCUCACAGAGAUCCUUCAAAACUUAAUCAUCCCAAAUCAAACAUUUAUCAAAUUAGGCCUACAUCAAUAUUUUAAAAUAAUUUAUAAAAGUCUCUAAAAUUCCUAAAAUUUCCAAUUCUGAUAUAACAUUAUUACGAUAGGGAAACGAGCACUCACUUUCCCUAUUCGUUCACAAGGAAAGAAAGAGAGAAUGUGGCACAGUGGAGACCCUCUGGAGCUAGCUUAGAGAGAGGGAGCGGGAAAGAUUGGGAGAAAGAGAAUGAGUGAGGGACGGUGGGGAAAACCCUUCCCUUCCUCUUCCUUGCUUUCUAGUUCUACAAGGAGAAAGCAAGAGAGGCCAGAAGAAAUGGAAGAAAGAUAAAAGGAGAGGAAAAGGAAGAGGAGGAAGAAGCAGCAGCAGAAGAAGAGAGAGAGAGCGCAUGCAUGGGGAAGGAAAAGAGAGAGUGAGAGAGGCUCGAGAGCCUGGUAUCAUGUGUGGAAGGGAGGGCAUGGGAGUGUGUUUGUGUGGGGAAUAAAAGAGUGUGAGAGCAAAAGAGAGUGAGCGAGAGCGGGAGGAACAGAAAUGAGCGAAGGAGAGAGAGGGAACUCUCGGGCAUGUGUGAGAAGAAUAGUGCCCUCCUCUCCUUUUCUCACCCGUUGGACUGCCUAAGACUGUGUCCACUCUGGGAUGUGCCACAGAUCCGCCUAUGGCGGUGCCCGCACAUGGUGCGGCCUGGGCACUGGUCUUGGUGCAUCUAGGCCAUGGGCCUAGGUAUUACAUGUUGACUAUUCAAUGUGUCUCAUCUUGGUGAAGGAGGAACACCGUGAAGUUACUAUCCACCUCAGUAGCCUUAUUAGCUGCGAUGCCUAGCCUCACCCAAAGCUGUGAACACAUUUUGAGUAUGUAAGUAUAUCCAAUCUUCUCUAUGAAAAACACAUCCCCACUUGGAUGAGCCUUCUGGAGCACUCGCGGAAAACUUUUUGACUUUAUGGCUGAUGAGACACAUACACCAUACUAUUUGUGUGAUCAUAAAAGAUAAAAAAUCCAUGUAUUAAUCCACACGAUACUUACAAUUUUCUUGCAAAUAGCUUUUAGGGAAUACGGUACUUUAAGUCUCUAACAUUACCACCAUGGUGGCAGCUGGUGAUGCGCAUGAAGUUAGGGUGGAGAUGGCAGAUAGUAGUGUCAAUAAAAUUGACGGUGUUUUGGGUUUGAUGAUCUUCACGUAGAAUGUAAAAUUGGAUCUUGUAAAGGAAUUACUGUCAGAAUUUCAUAAUAUUAAGUUGAUAGCAUAGAUAUUCACUUAAUCUUGACUGACUUAGUAGACAAUAGAAUGCUGCACAAAUUUACUUUUCAUGUAGAACUUUAAGAUGAUAGUUUUAUACUAAUUUCCAUCUUGUAAAAAUUUGCUUGAAUUAUUUCUCGUAGAAAGUAAGCGGUCAAAUUUUAUGGAAAAAAGGUAAGCAGUCAAAUUUUAUGGCCAAAAUCAUACUGCAAGAGAAGCAUGAAAGAAAUGCACAGGCUAAUUGCUAUUGUUUUAAUGCUCGUGCGUGGUUUGAAGUUUUGCACAAAUCUCCAAACCCAAACCAUAACAAAGGUCAUUUGCAAAGUUCUGGCCAAAGCUAACUUAUAGGGACACAAUAAUUCUAUAUAUGAGCUAUUUAUGCUAUUUUUUUCCAUUUCAUUAUUCGUUAUAUUCAUAGAAAUUUCAGUAUAAUAAACUUUAGUUUUUAUGAGCUUGAGAAGAUUUAGGAGUAUACCAUUAUUAGAUUCCAAAGAGAUCUUGAUAAAUGUAAUUAUUUUGCUUUUCUUUCCAAUUCUCAUAGAUAUUCAAAUUGUUUUAUGUUACAUUGCGAUCAGAUGGUGAAAUGAUGCACAAAACAUUAGUUUUAUACAGUUAAACUUAGAUAUAGUUUUUCACAUUGUUUCAGUAAAGCACCACAUAUAGUGCAUUCAAAGGUCCCCAAACAAUAUAAUAUACUGCAAAUUGAUGCCUAACUUGUUCUCGUCAACUAUUUAAUUUUGAUUUGUUUAUUGUUUCCUCCUAGUUUUAAUGGGAACUUUUGAAGCUUUUGUGAAUUCUCAACUGAACUGUGAGAAACUGAACAAAACCAUAAGGAAUACUACAAGGAUCAAGGGUUGGCCGAGCCAGCAUUCGCUUUCUGCCUUUUUUAACCGAAAGAGCUCAACACUUCAGUAUGCAUUUUCCUUGGUUCCUGCUUAACCGGCUUGGCAUCGGACCGUACAACCAAGCGGUGCUACUCCACCAAGAAUCGGCAUUCAAAAAAUUACCAAACACUAGAACUUAUUUGGUUCGCUUGGAACCAAAACCAAGUUUUUAAAUUUUUGGCUUAUAAUGCCAUGAUAAUUGGCCAUUUUAGGGUGAGUUGAAUGAGUUGUUGCUUUUGGAACAAAGUGGUAGAUCAUGUUCAUGGAAAAAGUAGUAAUGCAAGGGAAGCAUGCGCCAUAGAAAUACACUAAAUUGCCUGAAGAUACCACGUAUGCAAAUACUAUUUUUGACCAGAUGAUGUCAGCUGAAGUUGGAAUUUGAGGUCUACAUCUACAUGAAGGAUUGAGUAGGUUGAGGAAAGCAAGAUAAGUGAAAUAAAUGCAAGAUCAUUCUAUUUUCAAUUAAUCAGCAAUCAAAAUCAUGUACACGUGCACAGGGCGACAAGAUGGAAACUUGUUUAAGAGAAAUAAGAAUAAGGUGAUGACAAAGAGUUUCCAUGAUCCACACUAAAUUGACGCAUUUGAUGCAUCCUCUAACAAUGGAACUUCUUGAUUUUUCCUGUUUUUCCCUUCUUUCUCUAUCUCUUACUUUUUUCAGAGAUGAGGCCUAGCUCUCGGGUUUGUUAGACACAUAUUUAUAAGAGAGGCCAGCCUCCUAUUCCUAUAGCAAGAGUGUUAGGGAUUCUGUGAUGUAGGGGCGCAGCAGAAGCGCGAGAUUUUAUAAAUUUUUCAUAAUGAAAUCCCGUAACAUCAGACACUAAAACCAAGAUCACCUUAAUGGUAACAAUUAAACUUAUAAAAUAAAUGUAGGAAUAGAAGAAUACCUGUAACCCUAAUUCCAAUAUUUAGAAUUUUUAAUAGACGCUCAAGUGUUCACCCUCCAACGUUGAUCCACACGGAAACUUGCUUUAAGAUUUUAACUCCAAAAGAACUUAAUUCUUGAUGCUGAAUUCUUUCAAAGAAUUCAAUUGGCUUCUAGGCAAAAUAAUACUUCUCAAGUGCUUUGCCUUUCUCCCUUUUCCUUUGGCUUCUUCUUUCUAAUUGUCUUUUUCUUUCCUAAUUCUCCUUCUAAGCCUUUUGUCCUAAAGAAGACUUUUUGUCUUAAUUUAGAACAACCUUGGAGAGAGUUGUAAGAAAGAAGGGAUUGGAUUGGUUAUUGGAAACCCGGGAAUGCCAACUAUUUAUAGUUGGCGAGGGCGUGCUCUUGGCGUGAGGAUGCAUCACCAAAAGAUGCAUCCUUACACGCUUCAUGAUGGAAGAGGCGCCUCAUCAAGAGGCGCCAUCCAAUUAUUAAGCAAGAGGUGCCUCAUCAAGAGGCGCCAAUCCCUACAUGCCGCACAUGCCCCAUAUGCCCCUCAUGCCUAAAAAAUAGGGAAGAGGUUAAACUCAAGAGGCGUCAUCUUUAUCCCUUCAUUCAAUGGCUGAUGGUGAUCCAAAAGCCACCAAAGAUGGCACCUCAUUCAUCUUGCGCGUGAGGAUAAGAAGAGGAAGUUAAAUGGAUAAGAGUCCUUUAACUAAAUGGAUUCUUCAUCCUAAUCCAAUCCAAUUGGGUUCAAACCAAGCCAAUUAGGUGACAACUCUUGGUUAACCCAAACUAGGAUAUGGUCUAACCAAAAAGCUAAUUUAAUUAGAUCAAUCCAAAUGAAGAAUCAAAUUCGAAUCCUAUUCGAAUUAGGAGUUAGAGUUUGCAACACUACGUGCUAGCAUGUUCAUUCUGCAAACAUGAUUUAAUCUAAUUAGAUCCUUGAUUAGUUUUCUUGUGUGUGACCUAUUGGGUUCCACAUCUAGCCAGCAGUAGGUCUAGGUGCAAGUUGACCUGAUUUGAUUAGAACUCUUCUAAUCGAUUUAGGUCCAAAUUGUGCAAACCUGAGCUUAAUAAUUAGAACCCUUUCUAAUUGGUGAUCGAAUUAAAUUUUUUAAUUCGAUCAAACCUACAAGACAAGAUUGAAUCCGGAAGAUCUAGCAACGUAUCAUGUCUAUCCGGAAGAUAUGAAAUUUGGUAGAAAUACCAAAUAUACCCUUCAGUGGCAAGUUACCGUACAAUUUAAUCCUUCAAUCAAGCUACAUCCCGAAUAUGUAUAUGAGUAUGGAUCUAUGUCAAACUCAAUUACAUAUUCAUGUGUCUCUCAAUCUUCUAAUGAUAAUUCGAAUAAUGAAAUAUUAGAAACUCUUUCUAAUUUUCAUUCUACUUUGAUCAAAGACUCCCUGAAUUAUCAUGCGAUUAGAGUAAGUAGGAUGCGAUCUUCUCUUACUAGAAGUGAUUGAUUUCUUAUUGACCUACUCAAUUCACCAUAUCCAGAAGAUCCCGUACACGACUUUAGUCAUGAAUGAGUAUGAACCAAAAUAUGGAUUCGUGUGCACAAGAUACCAUGGUGGUCUCAGGUCAAAGGAUCAAUUGCACAACUCCCACUAAGAGAAUCAUCUUUUGACAUGUAAGUAAGACUCCAUAAGAUAUUUUCUUAGCAGGUCAAUUCAGUGAACUCAUUUUUUAAUGAGCACCCAUAUCUUUGUAUUAGUGUCUCCACACAAGUGAUUGUGAGAUUAAUCAUCCUCUCUAUCGAGCAUACAAAAGAUGUGCCAGUCUUUCUGGUAACAUUGAUCCCUAACUCAAUGUAUCAACAACUGAAAAUAUUUUAGAUUAGGGUUUUAGGAUUUUAGGUCUCACUUGCAUGAUCUCAUCAUAGCCCUAAAACUAUUGCCCUAAUCUAUGGGGUCAAUUAUAAAUAUAAGAUGCAGCAUAUGAUGAAACAUAAUGCUAUUUCAUUUAUAAUAAAAUAUCAUGUACAUGAGCUAAAAAAUUAAAAGAAAUUCUAUCGUAAUACAGAUUAUGAUUGGCUUGUAGGGCAUUAUUCUUUCAAUCUCCCACUUGCACUAAAGCCAAUCUUUAAACCCAUACAAUCGAGGUUGCGAUCGAACUGCUGCUGAGGUAAAGCUUUAGUAAAUGGGUCUGCUAAGUUGUUCUUUGUAUCUACUCGUUCAAUGAUUAUAUCUUGUCUUUCGAUAAUCUCUCGAACGAGGUGGAAGUGUCUUAGAAUGUGCUUGAAUUUGUGAUGAGACCUUGGUUCCUUUGCUUAAGCAACAGCUCCAGUGUUAUCACAAUAAACUGCCACUGGAUUUGUAAUCUCAGAAACAACACUCAAUUCAGUGAUGAACUUCUUCAUCCGGACAACUUCCUUAGCAGCUUCACUUACAGCAAUGUAUUCUACCUCAGUAAUUGAGUCAGCUACAGUCUGCUACUUGGAACUCUUCCAACUCACUGCACCACCACACAGGGUAAAGAAAUAUCCUGAAAUGGACUUGCUAUUAUCUGGAUCUGACUGAAAACUAGAAUCAGAAUAGCCUUGUAGUUUUAACUCAAAUCCUCCAUACAUUAGAAAAACAUCUUUAUCCUUUUCAAGUACUUAAGAAUGUUUUUUACUGCUUUCCAAUGAUCCUCUCCUGGAUUAGCCUGAAAUCUGCUUGCUAUGCCCAAGGCAUAAGCAACAUCAGGCCUAGUACAUAGCAUAGCAUACAUUAUUCACCCUACUGCCGAAGCAUAGGGAAUAGAAUUCAUUCUAUUCCUUUCUUCAGGUGUCUUAGGAGACAUCUUCUUAGAGAGAUGUAUGCCAUGACCUAUGGGUAAGUAACCUCUUUUACUCCCAUCCAUGCUGAACCUUUUCAGCACAAGAUCUAUGUACCUAGACUGGGACAAACUUAGCAUCCUUUUAGAUCUAUCCCUAUGGAUCUUUAUUCCAAGUAUAUAGGAUGCUUCACCUAAGUCUUUCAUGGAAAACCUUUUUGAUAGCUAAGUCUUGACCGAUUGUAACAUUGGAAUAUCAUUUCCAAUGAUAAGUAUGUCAUCUACAUACAAAAUUAAGAAGACAAUAGCACUCCCACUUGUUUUCUUAUACACACAAGGUUCAUCCACAUUUUUGAUAAAGCCAAACUCUUUGACUGUUACAUCAAAAUGGAUGUUCCAACUUCUCGAUGCUUGCUUUAAUCAAUAAAUGGAUUUCUUAAGCUUGCAUACUUGAUUUGUUCUCCCAUUUGAGACAAAUCCUUCUGGCUGAGUCAUGUAAACUUCUUCCUCAAGAUGACCAUUAAGGAAGGCAGUUUUAACAUUCAUUUGCCAGAUUUCAUAAUCAUAGUAUGCAGCUAUUGCAAGCAAAAUCCGAAUAGAUUUAAGCAUAGCAACUGGUGAAAAAGUUUCAUCAUAGUCAAUUCCUUACCUUUGUCUGAAACCUUUUGCGAUCAAUUUGGCCUUGUAAGUUUCUACUUGGCCAUCUGCUCUAAUCUUUUUCUUAUAGACCCACUUGCAAUCUAUAGGGGGUUACACCCCCAGGUGCAUCAACCAAAGUCCAUACUUGGUUGGUAUACAUUGAGUCUAUUUCGGAUUUCAUGGCCUCUAGCCAUUUGUCAGAGUCCCUACUCAUGACAGCUUCCGAAUAAGUUAGAGGAUCAUCGUUCUCAACGAUGUGGGCUUCAUCAUUUUUGCACUCUUUCUGAUCUUCGGAGAGGAGAUGUGUUGUGGUUGUACCUCAUCUAUGGGUACAUGUAUUCGAGGAAUAUCUUGUGUCUCUAUUUGUAGGUCUUGAACUUCUUCAAGUUCAAUUCUCCUGUCACUGCCCCUUUCUAGGAUACUCUUUUUCCAAGAAAGUGGCAUGUCUACCAACAAAGACCUUUUGUUCAGUAAGUUGAUAGAAGAGGUAUCCUAUAUUCUCUUUAGGAUAUCCUGCAAAUAAACACUUAUCUGAUUUAGCACUUAGCUUAUGUAGAUACAGAUUUAGAAGGUACCCUGUUCAAUAUAUACGCAGCAAUUUCUAGGGCAAAUCUCUAGAAGAAAAUAGAAAGGUCUGUAAAGCACAUCAUGGAUCGUACCAUAUCUAGUAGAGUACGAUUUCUCCUUUCUACUACACCAUUUAACUGUGGUGUAUACGGAGGGGUCCAUUUAGAGAGAAUACCCUUUUCUUUAAGAUCUAAGAACUCACUAGAAAGGUAUUCACCUCCUCGAUCUGAUCGAAGGAUUUUAAUACUCUUUUCAGUUUGUUUUUCAACCAUACUUUGAUACUCUUUAAACUUAUCAAAGGCUUCGGAUUUAUAUUUCAUAAAAUACACAUAUUCCAAUCUUGACAAAUCAUCAAUGAAUGUGAUGAAAUAAGAGUAUCCACAUCUAGCUUGAGUUGUCAUAGGACGACAUACAUCUGUAUGCACAAGUCCUAAUAACUUACUUGCCCUUUCUUCAUGUCCAGUGAAUGGAGACUUAGUCAUUUUUUUCAUAAGACAAGAUUCACAAGUUUCUAAUAAUUCAUAAUCAUAAGGAUCAAAGAAUUCUUCUUUGUAUAACUUGUUUAUUCUUGACUCACUUAUGUGACCAAGUCGGCAAUGCCAUAGGAAGGUGUUAUUCACCUCUUUUCUCUUUCAUUUUUUGCUUUCAUCAAUACGAAAGAUAUUGUCAUUAACAGACAGAACUAGAAGACCAUUUUUCAUAAUGCCAUUGCAAUAAUGCUCAUUAGAAAAAGAAAUAGAGCAACCAUUGCCCUUUCCAUUAAUUUCAAAUCUUUGUUUUAACAAUAAAGUAAUGAAAAUUACAUUUCUGAUAAUUUUAGGCAUUUAAUAACAAUCUUCUAACUCUAAGAGCUUGCCCGAAGGCAACUUCAAAAAGUAGGUUCCAACGGCUUCAGCCUAGAUGGACUCUCCUCCAGUGCCAUAAAGCUCGAAGUCAUCCUUCUUCAAACUUCUAAUUCUCUGUAGUCCUUGCAAUGACUUACUGAUAUGAGAACCACAGCCAGUAUCCAAUACCCAUGAAUUUAAAUUUGAAGAACUUAAUGACAAAUUGGCAUGUACCAUAUACAUACCUUUUGAUGUAACUCUUGCAUCAGGCUUUACAGUUGCAAGAAAAAUCUUGCAAUUUCUUUUCUAGUGGCCUUCCUUGCUGCAAUGGAAACAGGUACUUGAUCCGGAGACUUUCUUUCCUUUCUUCCUCUUCAUUCUGCUACUUUUAGGUUUCAAUCUUUUCUAAGAACCCUUAAUGCCUGUUUUCUUCUUAGACAUUCCGUCUACAAGGAGUGAACUCUUUUCCUUCUUGAUAUGGCUCUCAGCUGUCUUAAGCAUAUUUAACAGCUUAGGCAAAGAGGUAUUCAGUUUGUUCAUGUGAUAAUUCACAAUAAACUGAGAGAAGGAUUUUGGGAGUGACUGUAGGAUUAAAUCCUGACUUAGCUCACCAUCCAUCACAAAACCCAAUUGACUCAAUCUAGUGAUUAAGUCAAUUACCAUGAGAACAUGGUCUUGUACGGAUGUCCCUUCACUCAUUCUUGCACGGAAUAAUUGCUUAGAUAUCUCAUAUCAAGCAGUUCUACUCUGUUCUCCAUACAGCUAUUUUAAAUUGAGAAGUAUAGAGUGAGUAUCCAUGCUAUCAUGCUGCCUUUGCAAGUCAUUGCUUAUGGAGGCCAAUAUGAUAUAUUUAACAGUUCAACUGUCAUUCUGCCACAUCUUGUAUGUGGCUACCUCUUCUUCAGUAGCAUCUUCCCCUACCGACCUAAGGUCAGGGAUUUCGAGGAUAUAAGAAAGUUUCUUCUUAGUGAGAACGAUCCUUAAAUUUCUCAACCAGUCCACAUAGUUAGAACCGGUCAACUUGUUGGCAUCCAAGAUGCCUCUCAGUGAUAGUGAAGAAGCUAUUAAUGCAAAAUUAUUCUACAUAAGCAAAGAACAAAACUAACAUAAGCAGACCAUUCAUGAUGGCAUAUAUACAAUUAGAUAAGGAUUUUAUCUAAUUGUUACUUCCACCAUUUUAUCGAAUAUCAUAGCCCUCUUCUAUGAUAAACGAGAAACCCUAAUUGGUUUUUCUUAGUGGGGUUGAGAUCCUAAUUCCUCAUAGAGGCCUUGCGGUUUCACAACAAACCGUUAUGAGUUCAGAGGUAGGAAACUCUUUCCAAUUGUAUCUCAUGCAAUUCUUAAUAUUAUCCUGUCCUCUAAAACACUUAUAGCCUUGUGGUUGCACAACAAACUAUAAUGUUUAAGUUAAGUCAGACUCUUUAUUUUCAUACAGUCAUAUUUGAAUAAUAUUGCCCUUGUGGUUGCACAACAAAAUAACAUAUCAAAACAUGAUGCAAGCAUCUCUAUGCACCAAGACAAUAUGACAUUAAUCUCCAUAGCAAGCCUUGUGGUUUCACAAUAAACCUGCUUGGAUUUUUGACAAAAUACUGUCUUGGCAUGAAGGAAGGCUCAGAGUAGUGUUUUUCAACAUUAAGCUUUCCAUAAAAGAUAAUUAACUAAAUUGGCCAGGUAAGUAGGUGGGAGGCUUCCCGUGCUUUCGCAACGGUCCUAAUUAAGUAACCACCUUUGACACUUUUCUGGACGCCAAUUGAUCAAUCAAUCCAGAAUGGGUCAGCUUAAAGUAUCUUUCACUACGACUUAAUAUAAUUUUUAUGAGGGCUUUCCGGGCUUUUGUACAUUUUAUAAAUGUAACAUAUAUUGCAUUUCUAAUGUAAUAAGCAAACAUAGCGGGGAAUAUGAACAUGCUUCAAUAUAUCUUAUAUGAAAAUUCAUAUGAAGACAUUUGAACAAUAUAACAUUGCUAUCUCAUAGCAAAUAUCAAAACUUAAGUGAUCAUCAAUCGCUAGCAUGAUCAUUUGAUUGAACUAAUAAAGGUCGACUCUAAUACCACUAUAAGGGAUUCUGUGAUGUAGGGGCGCAGCGGAAGCAUGGGAUUUCAUAAAUUUUUCAUAAUGAAAUUCCAUAACAUCAGACCCUAAAACCAAGAUCAUCUUAAUGGUAACAAUCAAACUUAUAAAAUAAAUGUAGGAAUAGAAGAAUACUUGUAACGCUAAUUCCAAUAUUCAGAAUUUUCACUAGGCGCCCAAGUGUUCACCCUCCAACGUUGAUCCACACGAGAACUUGCUUUAAGAUUCUAACUCCGAAAGAACUUGAUUCUUGAUGCUGAAUUCUUUCAAAAAAUUCAAUUGGCUUCUAGGCAAAAUAACACUUCUCAAGUGCUUUGUCUUUCUCCCUUUUCUCUUGGCUUCUUUCUCCUUCUUUCUAACUGUCUUUUUCUUUCCAAAUUCUCCUAAGCCUUUUGUCCUAAAGAAGACUUUUUGUCUUAAUUUAGAACAACCUUAGAGAGAGAUGUAAGAAAGAAGGGAUUGGAUUGGUUAUUGGAACCCCGGGAAUGCCAACUAUUUAUAGUUGGCGAGGGGGUGCUCUUGGCGUGAGGAUGCAUCACCAAAAGAUGCAUCCUUACACACUUCAUGAAGGAAGAGGCGCCUCAUCAACAGGCGCCAUCCAAUCAUUAGGCAAGAGGCACCUCAUCAAGAGGCGCCAAUCCCCACAUGCCGCACAUGCCCUACAUGCCCCUCAUGCCUAAAAAAUGGGGAAGAGGUUAAACUCAAGAGGCGUCAUCCUUAUCCCUUCAUCCAAUGGCUGAUGGUGAUCCAAAAGCCACAAAAGAUGGCGCCUCAUUCAUCUUGGGCGUGAGGAUAAGAAGAGGAAGUUAAAUGGAUAAGAGUCCUUUAACCAAAUGGACUCUUCAUCCUACUCCAAUCAUGGCGUCAUCAAAACUUAAUCCAAUUGGGUUCAAACUAAGCUAAUUAGGUGCCAACUCUUGGUUAACCCAAACUAGGAUAUGGUCUAACUGAAAAGCCAAUCUAAUUAGAUCAAUCCAAAUUAAGAAUCAAAUUCGAAUCCAAUUAGAAUUAGGAGUUAGAGUUUGCAACACGUGCUAGCAUGUUCAUUUUGCAAACAUGAUUUAAUCUAAUUAGAUCCUUGAUUAGUUUUCUUGUGUGUGACCCAUUGAGUUCCACAUCUAGCCAGCAGUAGGUCUAGGUGUAAGUUGACCUGAUUCGAUUAGAACUCUUCUAAUCGAUUUAGAUCCAAACUGUGCAAACCCGAGCUUAACAAUUAGAACCGUUUCUAAUUGGUGAUCGAAUUAAAUUCUUUAAUUCGAUCAAACCUACAAGAUAAGAUUGUCAUCUAGCAACGUAUCUUGUCUACCUAGAAGAUAUGAAAUUUGGUGGAAACACCAAAUAUACCCUUCAAUGGCAAGUUACCGUGCAAUUUAAUCCUUCAAUCACGCCGCAUCCCGAAUAUAUAUGAGUAUGGAUUUAUGUCAAACUCAAUUGCAUAUUCAUGUCUCUCUCAAUUUUCUAAUGAUAAUUCGAAUAAUAAAACAUUAGAAACUCUUUCUAAUUUUCAUUCUGCUUUGAUCAAAGACUCCCUGAAUUAUCAUGCGAUUAGAGUAAGUAGGAUGCGAUCUUCUCUUACUAGAAGUGAUUGAUUUCUUGUUGACCUACUCACAACCUUUGUACACAAUUCACCAUAUCCAGAAGACCCUGGACACGACUUUAGUCAUGAAUGAGUAUGAACCAAAACAUGGAUUCAUGUGCACAAGAUACCAUGGUGGUCUCAGGUCAAAGGAACAGUUGCACAACUCCUACUAAGAGAAUCAUUUUUUGACAUGUAAGUAAGACUCUAUAAGAUAUUCUCUUGGCAGGUCAAUUUAGUGAACUCAUUUUUCUAAUGAGCACCCACAUUCUUGUAUUAGUGUCUCCACACAAGUGAUUGUGAGAUCAAUCACCCUCUCUAUCGAGCAUACAAAAGAUGUGCCAGUCUUUCCGAUAACAUUGAUCUUCGACUCAAUGUAUCAACAACUGAAAAUAUUUUAGAUUAAGGUUUUAGGGUUGUAGGUCUCACUUGCAUGAUCUCAUCAUAGCCCUAAAACCAUUGCCCUAAUCUAUGAGGUCCAUCAUAAAUAUAAGAUGCAGCAUAUGAUGAAACAUAAUGUCAUUUCAUUUAUAAUAAAAUGUCAUGUACAUGAGUUGGAAAAUCAAAAGAAAUUCUAUCGCAAUACAGAUUGCGAUUGGCUUAUAGGGCAUUAUUCUUUCAAAGAGAUGAGUCCAUCUUGAAGGUUUAAUAAGAAAGAGAAGCAAAGCGAUGAAUGAGUGAGAGAGAGAGAGAAACUAGGUCAACUGAGGUUUCUGUACUGCCUUAUCCCAUUUUCCUCAUGGACAUGCUAUAAUAACAACAUAACCAAAGUGGAUCAACAAUAAUAUGAAGUUUAGACAAAGUGACAAUGCACAAUAAUCUUUCAUGCAUGAUAACAUGUUGCAAUCUGAUCCCUAGCUGAAUGAGCCAAGGCCCAUUUGUGUGUUAUGUAUCUGUAAUUUACAUAUCUCUGUGUGAAGUGGUUUCCUAGGAAGGAUUCACAAUUUUAAGCAGUCAAAGCAAAUCCAUAUAUCAUUGCAAUGUCUCUAGUUUGAUGUUUAUGACAACUAGCCAUUCUAACCCUUACUGAAUGUAGUACAUAAAGUUGCCAUAUGAUGUAAUGCCCAACCUACUCUUAAGAGUAGUUAUAUUGUCCAGAACGAGUCAAUCCUUCUAUUAAAAGCACAAAAUUUUCACUUCGAAUUUUUACAAGGAACACUUUUGGACUGCUUUCUCAACUCCAGUGUUAAUGUGUGAAACAUGCCUGAUACUUUAUAUGAAAAUUUUGGAGUAGAAAUAUCAACGGUACAUCCAUAAAGUGUCUAAAAUAUCAAAUGGCUGAUAGGACACAUUCCUAUUCCAUCAAUGUAAGUGAUAAAGGUCUCACCAGAAUUAUUAAGGGUCUUUCAACUUGCCAUGUAACCAGCAGCUGAAUACUCACUUUUAGCGCCACCUCUAAUCUAUCAGUUCAUGAACAGUUAUGUCAUAGCACAUAUUAAGAUACCAACAUGCCUUGUGGUUAAUCUAUUUACUCUUCAUCAUGUGUUGAUGGCCACAUUUUAUGUCAAUUAGGUGUUGCAGGUUGUGGACUCUUUUCAGUCAUAACCAGUAAUAGAUCCCCUUGCUGAUUCCUUGUCAUCUUUGUCAUUCCAUUGUCUGGGUUGUCUUCCAAUCACUCAGUUCAUGAUUUUGUGUGCAUAUUCAUCCGAAAUCCGUUUUGGCACUUUCCAUAUGUAUGAUGAGUCAGGGCUUAUUCUUCCCAAUCAGUGCCAGCUACAUGUGCAGCAAGUGCAAAUAUUUUCAUCAGUUGUUUCCUUGAAAGUUGUUUGAAUUUUCAUGCACUAAUUGGCAGGCCUUGGAGCUACCUCCAAAACAUAUAGUACUUCCACAUUAAAUAAAUGGUUGUAGAAAUAUGAAUAUCUCAUCUCUUGUUGUAUCUAAUAAAUUAUUUUAUUUCCUAAAAAAUUUUCUAUUUUUCGUUUUUGGUUUUAUUAUUAUCAUUCUUUGAAAUAUGUGCAUCAUAAUGGUAUAAUCUUAGCAAGGAGUCUUUUACUAAUGUUACUGUAGAGACCCAAAGAUGCGGCCCUCAUUUUCUGAGAUCAUGGCAGCCUUAAAGCCAUUGCAGAAACCUGUUUCUAGUUCCCAAGUUCUGAAGCAGCGAGUACUGGUAGCAGACACUAAAGAUAAAGGGGAAUUAUAGCGAGCACAGGAAGGAACAAAUGCUGAAGUGGCUGUCUGAAACCAUUCAGUGUUUUGAGGAUGCCAUCUUGAAUACUAUGCUGGAGUUCUUGUAACAAUUUCAUUGUAUUGUAUGAAAUAAUAUCUGUGGGAGUUCUGGAGCCGAGGAGAUCGGUUGCUAGUCAUGUACCCACCUUCAGAAUUGUAAAGUUACUUGAAUUGAUUGUUGUUUGGCUGAUAAUCAAGUUCCAGUUGCAUCAAUCUGUCACCAUUCAAUGAGAACAAGAAUCCUCCUUCACAAAGCAAGAUGAAGAAAUGAAGAAUGCAAUGAAAGGAUGAAACAAGCAGGAACAGAAGCAGCCAGCAUUUUGUUUAGUUCCAUAAAUUGCACAUCAUGGAUUUUAUGACUGGUUGCUUAAACUGUUUCACUUAUUAUUGUAAACUGAGAUGUCUAUACUACUCUCUGUAAAUCUGGAUUCUUUUUGGCUUUUUUUCGUUGUUUUUUGUUCUUUUUUUCUUCCUUUAACUAAAGGGUUGUGCACCCUAAAAGAGUUGUAAACUUUUUAGUAGUGUGCCAUUCUUUAAUCCAGUCUUGAGAUUUCUUGCAUCAUCUGGUAGUACAUUCAAAUAGUAACAGCCAUCAUCCAUCCUGUCAACAAUGAUAGAUGGAAAUCGAUGCAAGGUGACGGUGCAUCCAGUUGAGCGAAAGCUUGGGCUUGCAAGCUUCUGCUGUUUGUGAGUUUUUUUUAAAAAAAAAAUUAAAGAAAACUUUUGAAAUGAUAAUGUACUAGUUUUGUUCUAUUUAUUCAUGAAAUUAUAUUUUUCUUUAGUUUAAAAGUGAUAAAACUAUUUUAUUCUGUGUAUAUGAUUAUAUUUUAUUCAACACAACUGUUUCAGUUCUUGACUCUGCUGCGAAAUUUCAAUCCAGUUGUGCACCAAAAUUUUGGUCUGUUCAUGACGUGUCAGUUUGGAAGACCUCGGUCUCUAGUACUCCGUGCCUUAGUUGAUCCUGCAAUAGAAGUCUGCCGAGUUUCUUUCCCUUUAGUGCAGUUUCUUGGAAAAAAAAAUCAUUUAAGGACCUGCAAUAGCAAAGGUCAUAUUUUGAAGAAUUCUACUAGGAAAUAGGAUGAAAGGAUAGAAGGUUUGUUUUACUGCCAUGAUAUGUUCAAAAAUUUAAGCUGCGUUUGGAUGCAAAAUAGAUAACCAGGGGUAUAUAGAUUUUAGUUAAGUUUAUUCUCUGUUUGGUUGACAUUUCUGAGAUGAAAUGGUUUAGACCGCAAUAGGUUGCGAUCAUAACAUGUAAGUAGGUGGUCGUUUGAGGUGUGGGGUGGGGAUCUUACACACCAUUGUUGUUCGCUCCCUUGAGGACUGGUGCCAAACACGGAUCAUUAGAUAUCCAGGAGAGAGCUUGGUGUUUAAAUUUACUAUACUGUCCCUCA
rnacentral:lncRNA from 1 species